rnacentral:rRNA from 1 species
CUCAGGAUGAACGCUGGCGGCGUGCCUAACACAUGCAUAGUCGAACGAAGCAUUUACACGGAUUUCCUUCGGGGAUGAAGGGUUUAUGACUGAGUGGCGGACGGGUGAGUAACGCGUGGGCAACCUGCCCCGUACCGGGGGACAACAGCCGGAAACGGCUGCUAAUACCGUAUACGUUUUAAGGACCGCAUGGUCCGUAAAACAAAACUCCGGUGGUACGGGAUGGGCCCGCGUCUGAUUAGCUCGUUGGCGGGGUAACGGCCCACCAAGGCGACGAUCAGUAGCCGGCCUGAGAGGGCGGCCGGCCACAUUGGGACUGAGACACGGCCCAAACUCCUGCGGGAGGCAGCAGUGGGGAAUAUUGCACAAUGGGGGAAACCCUGAUGCAGCGACGCCGCGUGAGCGAGGAAGUACCUCGGUAUGUAAAGCUCUGUCAGCAGGGAAGAAAAUGACAGUACCUGACCAAGAAGCCCCGGCUAACUACGUGCCAGCAGCCGCGGUAAUACGUAGGGGGCAAGCGUUAUCCGGAUUCACUGGGCGUAAAGGGAGCGCAGGCGGCACGGCAAGUCUGAUGUGAAAACCCGGGGCUCAACCCCUGGACUGCAUUGGAAACUGCCGGGCUGGAGUGUCGGAGGGGUAAGCGGAAUUCCUGGUGUAGCGGUGAAAUGCGUAGAUAUCAGGAGGAACACCGGUGGCGAAGGCGGCUUGCUGGACGACAACUGACGCUGAGGCUCGAAAGCGUGGGGAGCAAACAGGAUUAGAUACCCUGGUAGUCCACGCCGU